rnacentral:tRNA from 1 species
GGGGGCGUGGCGGAAUGGCAGACGCAGGGGAUUCAAAAUCCCCCGAGUGUAUACUCUUGUGGGUUCAAGUCCCACCGCCCCCACCA